UCCUUUGAUUGAGCAUAGGCAGCAGC
rnacentral:sRNA from 1 species